rnacentral:rRNA from 3 species
GCAUAUCAAUAAGCGGAGGAAAAGAAACUAACAAGGAUUCCCCUAGUAACUGCGAGUGAAGCGGGAAAAGCUCAAAUUUAAAAUCUGGCGGUCUUCGAUCGUCCGAGUUGUAGUCUGGAGAAGCGUCUUCCGCGCUGGACCGUGUACAAGUCUCUUGGAACAGAGCGUCGUAGAGGGUGAGAAUCCCGUCUUUGACACGGACUACCAGUGCUUUGUGAUGCGCUCUCAAAGAGUCGAGUUGUUUGGGAAUGCAGCUCAAAAUGGGUGGUAAAUUCCAUCUAAAGCUAAAUAUUGGCGAGAGACCGAUAGCGAACAAGUACCGUGAGGGAAAGAUGAAAAGCACUUUGGAAAGAGAGUUAAACAGUACGUGAAAUUGCUGAAAGGGAAACGAUUGAAGUCAGUCGCGUCGUCUAGAACUCAACCUUGCCUCGGCUCGGUGCAUUUUCUAGUUGACGGGCCAGCAUCAGUUUUGACCGUCGGAAAAAGGUCCUCGGAAUGUGGCACCUUCGGGUGUGUUAUAGCCUUGGGUCGUAUACGACGGUUGGGACUGAGGACCGCAGCACGCCUUUAUGGCCGGGGUUCGCCCACGUACGUGCUUAGGAUGCUGGCGUAAUGGCUUUAAACGACCCGUCUUGAAACACGGACC